CCUAAUUGAGUCUAAAAACAAAAUUUCGAGGCAAAUCAGAAAUAAAUAAAAAGGAAAUGGACUGAUUUAAACGCAUGAAUAACAAGGUGGGACCAAAAGGGCAAUACUCCCUGACCUCCAAAACGUACAGCAUCAGGUGGGACCAAAUUGAAAGUCAAAAUAUAUUAUACAGCAAAAUUAAAAAAUAGGAAAAACAUAAUUGCAAAAUCAUAAAAAGCGAAAGGACCUAAAUCGAAAUUUGCCCUUCCAAGAAAAAUAUGCGGAUCCUAGCUUGGAGCGGGUCGGAUCGGGUCGGUUGAGCUUGAAACGACGCCGUUUUGGGGUUUAAGGACCCAGACCAAAACGACGUCGUUUUAGCACUCUAUUUAAGCAAAUUUUCCAAAAAAAAAAAUUCAUUUCAGCAUUUGUUUUAAAAAAAAGAACCUUCCUCCCUCUCUUUUUUUCUCUCUGCAGAAGCCUUAGGCCGAUCAGAGCUCCAGCGAACCGCUGCCGCGACCACCGCCCUCGACCGCUGUGCACAGUUGUUGGAGCUCGGAAAGAAGCCCCCUUUUUAGUCAAUCGGAGAAUAGGUAAUAAAUCCCUCUCUUUUUUUGUGUGUGUUUUUGAUAUAUAUAGGUAUAUAUAUAUAAUUUCCGAAAAAGAAAAUAAAAAUAAAAUGAAGAGGUACCCUUAGCACGUCUCAAACUUUGGAUUCUCUUUCGAAAUUCUUGUUUUUUUUUUUGUAUCUUUCUCUGUUUUUUAUUUCAAAAAAUCCCCCUUUUACAUUGAUAAACGAUGGCUUUUUAUAGUCGAUUAUGUUACAUUGUUUGCUACUAUUCAUGCACUAUUUAUUUCCUAUUUUUGCGCUGCUGUUGCGUGUUCUUCUUCUUAUUUGUAGAAUGAUUGAUGGCGGUGGAGCAAGUGGCUGACAGAGGAGUGCGGGGUGCUUGAACAUGCGGCUAGGGUUUUCUUUCUUUCUUUUUUUUUUGGCUAAAAAUGUUUAGGUUGUGGGCUUUUGGACUGCUAGAGUUUUUUAGGUUUUGGGCUAGUGUUUAAUUUUGGUUUGGGCUUGUAAUUUAUUGGGCUGUGUUUGUAAUUUAGACUUUGGAUUUAUUAUUAUUAUUUUAUAUUUGUAAUUUGUCUUAAGCCCAGGCCAAAAUUAACCUUUUACAAUGAGUGACACCAAUUCAAUCAAAAUCUUUAUAUAUAACAUAGAUAAUUUAGUACAAAUUACACAUUCAUUGUGUGAAAAUUAAUAAAUAAAAAUACGUAAAAGCAAAAGUAA
rnacentral:lncRNA from 1 species